AUUGAACGCUGGCGGCAUGCCUUACACAUGCAAGUCGAACGGCAGCACGGGAGCAAUCCUGGUGGCGAGUGGCGAACGGGUGAGUAAAGUAUCGGAACGUGCCCAGUCGUGGGGGAUAACGUAGCGAAAGUUACGCUAAUACCGCAUACGAUCUAUGGAUGAAAGCGGGGGAUCGCAAGACCUCGCGCGAUUGGAGCGGCCGAUAUCAGAUUAGGUAGUUGUUGGGGUAAAGGCUCACCAAGCCGACGAUCUGUAGCUGGUCUGAGAGGACGACCAGCCACACUGGGACUGAGACACGGCCCAGACUCCUACGGGAGGCAGCAGUGGGGAAUUUUGGACAAUGGGCGAAAGCCUGAUCCAGCCAUGCCGCGUGCAGGAUGAAGGCCUUCGGGUUGUAAACUGCUUUUGUACGGAACGAAAAGGUUUGGCCUAAUAAGCUGAGCUGAUGACGGUACCGGAAGAAUAAGGACCGGCUAACUACGUGCCAGCCGCCGCAGUAA
rnacentral:rRNA from 1 species